rnacentral:rRNA from 1 species
GAUGAACGCUGGCGGCGUGCCUAAUGCAUGCAAGUCGAGCGAACGGACGAGAAGCUUGCUUCUCUGAUGUUAGCGGCGGACGGGUGAGUAACACGUGGAUAACCUACCUAUAAGACUGGGAUAACUUCGGGAAACCGUAGCUAAUACCGGAUAAUAUUUUGAACCGCAUGGUUCAAAAGUGAAAGACGGUCUUGCUGUCACUUAUAGAUGGAUCCGCGCUGCAUUAGCUAGUUGGUAAGGUAACGGCUUACCAAGGCAACGAUGCAUAGCCGACCUGAGAGGGUGAUCGGCCACACUGGAACUGAGACACGGUCCAGACUCCUACGGGAGGCAGCAGUAGGGAAUCGUCCGCAAUGGGCGGAAGCCUGACGGAGCGACGCCGCGUGAGUGAUGAAGGGCUUCGGAUCGUAAAACUCUGUUAUUAGGGAAGAACAUAUGUGUAAGUAACUGUGCACAUCUUGACGGUACCUAAUCAGAAAGCCACGGCUAACUACGUG